rnacentral:rRNA from 1 species
UUCCGCCGGCGACCGGCGCACGGGUGAGUAACACGUAUGAAACCUGCCCGUAGCAGGGGGAUAAGCGGAAGAAAUUCCGUCUAAUACCGCGUAACAACCCGAGGAGGCAUCUCCUCGGGUUUAAAGGAAGCGAUUCCGGCUACGGAUGGUCAUGCGUCGCAUUAGCUAGUUGGCGGGGUAACGGCCCACCAAGGCGACGAUGCGUAGGGGUUCUGAGAGGAAGGUCCCCCACACUGGUACUGAGACACGGACCAGACUCCUACGGGAGGCAGCAG